rnacentral:rRNA from 1 species
ACGAACGCUGGCGGCGUGCCUAAUACAUGCAAGUCGAGCGGAAUGAUGAAGAAGCUUGCUUCUUCUGAUUUUAGCGGCGGACGGGUGAGUAACACGUGGGCAACCUACCUUGUAGAUUGGGAUAACUCCGGGAAACCGGGGCUAAUACCGAAUAAUCCAUUUUGCUUCAUGGCGAGAUGUUGAAAGACGGUUUCGGCUGUCACUACAAGAUGGGCCCGCGGCGCAUUAGCUAGUUGGUAGGGUAAUGGCCUACCAAGGCGACGAUGCGUAGCCGACCUGAGAGGGUGAUCGGCCACACUGGGGCUGAGACACGGCCCAGACUCCUACGGGAGGCAGCAGUAGGGAAUCUUCCACAAUGGACGAAAGUCUGAUGGAGCAACGCCGCGUGAGUGAAGAAGGUUUUCGGAUCGUAAAACUCUGUUGUAAGGGAAGAACACGUACGAGAGUAACUGCUCGUACCUUGACGGUACCUUAUUAGAAAGCCACGGCUAACUACGUG